rnacentral:sRNA from 1 species
AGUUAGCCCUGAUGGAAGCGGCAUCUCCCGAUUUAGAAAAAUAAGGCUUUUUUGCCGUAGUUUUUAUUUAUCGGGAAUACAGCGUACAGCGGGAAAAAGC